rnacentral:rRNA from 1 species
UACGAAGGGGGCUAGCGUUGCUCGGAUUGACUGGGCGUAAAGAGCUCGUAGGUGGUUUGUCGCGUUGUCCGUGAAAACUCACAGCUCAACUGUGGGCGUGCGGGCGAUACGGGCAGACUGGAGUACUGCAGGGGAGACUGGAAUUCCUGGUGUAGCGGUGGAAUGCGCAGAUAUCAGGAGGAACACCGGUGGCGAAGGCGGGUCUCUGGGCAGUAACUGACGCUGGAGGAGCGAAAGCGUGGGGAGCGAACAGGA